UACGAGGGGGGCAAGCGUUGUUCGGAAUUAUUGGGCGUAAAGGGUGCGUAGGCGGUUUGACAAGUCUGAUGUGAAAUCUAUGGGCUCAACCCAUAGUCUGCAUCGGAAACUACCGUGCUAGAGUGCGAGAGAGGCAAGUGGAAUUGCGGGUGUAGCGGUGAAAUGCGUAGAUAUCCGCAGGAACAUCCGAGGCGAAAGCGGCUUGCUGGAUCGCAACUGACGCUGAGGGACGAAAGCUAGGGGAGCAAACAGG
rnacentral:rRNA from 1 species